rnacentral:rRNA from 1 species
UACAGAGGCCACGAGCGUUAGGCGGAAUCACUGGGCUUAAAGCGUGUGUAGGUGGAUGACUAAGUACCUUGUGAAAUCCCACGGCUCAACCGUGGAACUGCUUGGUAUACUGGUUGUCUUGAGGCACUCAGGGGCGAGCGGAACAGAUGGUGGAGCGGUGAAAUGCGUAGAUAUCAUCUGGAACGCCAAUGGUGCAGACAGGCUGCUGGGGAUGUACUGACGCUGGAGGCACGAAAGCCAGGGGAGCGAACGGG